rnacentral:lncRNA from 1 species
CAGCAAGGAGGCGAGGAGCGGCGGCGGCGCUGAGCCGGGCCCGGGUGUGGGGGCGCCUAUAUCCCCAGCCCAAGCUGCAGGAAGCCGCGCCGCUUCCUCGGAGGGGCUGGGACGGCGGCGGCCACGUGGGGGGCGGGGGCGACGCUCGGGGCCCGCGGCUGGAGGGGGAGUCGCUGCCUCACCCGCGCCUGGCGCCCGCGGCUCCCUCCGCCUCGCCGGCGUUGGCCCACCCUCUCGUAGCUCACCCCGCGAGGCUGGACAGCUCCCGGAACCCCGGAACCGGGAUCUAUUUCGGGGGCUCGGCUGCGUGGCGCCCAGGACUCUCCAGGGUCUCCCAGGAUCGCUCCCCGAAUUCGAGUCGCCCCCUCUCUCUUUCGGGAAUACCAGCUGAUGUCAGUCCGCCAGCCAAAACCAGGGAGGAGAAGCGGGAGCCAGCCCUCUGGAGUCGGGAGAAGGUCUGGGGAGUGGGGUAGAGGGGAAAGCAAAGUCCAAAUACCUUCCCUUCAGACACCUCCUGGGGCCUAGACCCCACAAACCUGUUGUGGGGAGGGCAAAAUACGAUGACUACGUUCCCAGGAAGAAGGUGCCACAGCUCUUCAGGACCACGGUUGGGAGAAAGAAUGGAGGGGUUUUAGAACCUUCAGUGUGCGACUUCAUGUGCCAGUCUUCAUCUCAGGAUCUCAAGCUCUUGGAUCAUGGGCACGGAUAACCUGUUGUCCUCCUCUAUGGUCAAGAGGCUGCUUUUGCAAAGAAUCCAGUGGGAGAGAGUCAAUGGCCUGCUUGACGUGAACUCCAAAGUCCUCCUGGCCAAGGGUCAUCCUGCCUGGAGCAGGGCAAGAGGUGACUUGACCCUUAGGAAGAGUGGCAUCUCUAAUCUUCAACUUCCACCACCACCACACACACAAAUGCAGAGCCACCCAGGAGGAAGUAAAAAGUGCUAGGGCCUUCUACACCUUGAAAUUAUAUGUGGAGCAUCCUGCAAUAAGCAUCUCUGUGAUGCACAGUCAUUCACACCUGCUGGUCUCUCCCCCAGCUGUCUGCAAAAUGAAGAGCAGAGCACAAGAGAACAUGUGAGAAAGAGGCAGGGUCGGGGAAGCCAGAAGUCCUGGCUGGCAGGGGCUGAUCCUUCCUAACUAGAGAGAGGAGACACACUUCUUGAGAGGGCAGGGAGAUAGCAGGGAGAACUAGAGGAGCUAUAGCCAGGGAGCCAGCUAAGGGAGGGAAGACAAAGGAGUGGAGACACAACUACUCCAUCUCUCCCCAGCCUCCUCAUCUCCAGAAUGAUGGCACACCUGGGAGGGGCCUGACUACCUUUCAGGGGGAAAAAUGGUCACUGGGCCUGGUGCGGUGGCUCAUGCCUGUCAUCCCAGCACUUUGGGAGGCCAAGGUGGGUGGAUAACCUGAGGUCAGGAGUUCGAGACCAGCCAGAACAACAUGGUGAAACCCCAUCUCUACUAAAAAUACAAAAAUUUGCUGGGCGUGGUGGUGCCUGCCUGUAAUCCAGCUACUUAGGAGGCUGAGGCAGGAAAAUCGCUUGAACCCGAAAGGCAGAGGUUGCAGUGUGCCGAGAUUAAGCCACUGAACUCCAGCCUGGGCAACAAGAGUGAAACUCUGUCUGAAGGAAAAAAAAAAAAAGCCAUUGGAGAAGACGGGGUCCUUCCAGAGAAGCUGAUCAAGUCAUAUUACUCAUCAACUGCUGGGGACCUAACAGUCACUACCAUGUAUUGAACACUUACUAUGGGCUGCAUAAUGUGCCUACUGACGCAUGUGCUGAAAGCUUUGCAUGUAUGUCUUAAAGCCACACCACUAUAACAUCAGAAUUAUCUUCUCCAUGUGUGAAAUGGGGAAACAGGAGGAGAAAGUUUACAAUCCCAGAGCUAGUAAUUGGCAGAGCCAGGAUUUAAACCCAGGAUAUCUUGAUGCUAAAGUUCAUGUCUUAACCAUUAUGAUUUAUCACCUCCUCUCACUGCAGAUCAGAAUACCAAUUUCUUACUGGGUCUGGAAAGGAGGAGAGAAGGAUAGAGAGUUUCUUCUAGGACCAAAUUGAUUCCUCCACAAAUAGGAAGAUCCCCAGACUGUGUGCACACACCCUCCUCCUCCUUCCUUCUCCAACCCUGGCUGGACCAUGACAUCACAUGGUGGAGGCUGUUUUUUAAAAAGAACUCAGGCCAGAUUUACAAGAAUGAUGCUCAGGCAGCGUGACUGUCAAGGACCGUGGCCAAGUGACCCAUAGCACACACCCAGCAGUGCUGAGAACAUAGCUAGUCCCUUAGCACCUGGGGCUGACUCAUGGUUGCUGUAGGACCCAAUGCCAGAUGCCAGGAUUGCUUUCUCCCUCCAUUCAUUAGGACUGUCCCAUGAAACCCUCCCCAGGAACCCUUCUACCCCAUCCCGGCAUGCCAGGAGCCUGGAUACUGCAUAACACAGGGUACUCAUAUUUGUUUACCAAGCCUUGAAGAUGACAGGCAAUAUGCUGAUAUGCUCAAUGCAUCAUACAAAUUGUUUUAUUUAAAACUGAACUAUUAAAUUAAGUAUCAUAGCAACUCACUUUACAGACAAGGAAACUGAAGCUCAAAGGUUAAGUAAGGGCCAGGCAUGGUGGCUCACUCCUGUAAUCCCAGCAGUUUGGGAGGCUGAGGUGGGAGGAGGAUUGCUUAAGCCCGCGAGUUUGAGACCAGCCUAGGCAAUAUAGGGAGACCCCAUCUCUACAAAAAAUUAUCUGGGCCUGGUGAUGUGUGCCUGUAGUCCCAGCUACUUGAGAGGCUGAGGUGGGAGGAUUGCUUGAGCCCAGAAGUUGAGGCUGCAGUGAGCCAUGAUCAUGCCAUUGUACUCCAGCCUGGGCAGCAAAGCAAAACCCUGUAUUGAAAACAAACAAACAGGCUGGGCACGGUGGCUCACACCUGUAAUCCCAACACUUUGGGAGGCCGAGGCAGGUGGAUCACCUGAGGUCAGGAGUUAGAGACCAGCCUGGCCAACAUGGUGAAACCCGCCUCUACUGAAAAUACAAAAAUUAGCAGGGCAUUGUGGCACAUGCCAAGGUGGGCAGAUCACCUGAGGUCAGGAGUUCGAGACCAGCCUGGCCAACAUGGUGAAACCCCAUCUCUACUAAAAAUACAAAAAUUAGCUGGGCGUGGUGGUGGGCGCCUGUAGUCCCAGCUACUCAGGAGGCUGAGGCAGGAGAAUCGCUUGAACCUGGGAGGUGGAGGUUGCAGUAAGCCAAGAUAGUGCCACUGCACUCCAGCCUGGGCGACAGACAA